UUGUCGGCCUCGCCCAACGCCAAUCCCCCACCCCCGCGGUUCCCUUUGCGCUGCCUCGUAUGUGCACGAGGAAAUGCCCCAGUGAAGGCCAGCUUUUACCAUUAUUGGAUCGCCAUCACUGCUCCACAUCCUCCUCCUUCUCCUCCUCCAUGUCAUGCUGCUGCAAAUGACAGGCCCUGCUUUCUCGAACGGCCAUGGCGUCGCCAUCACCCCCCCCCCCCAUCCGCUGGUUUUAAUCCGCAGCUGAGUGAACGAGACGCUUGCUUUUCGACCAUCCUAAACAUAUUUUGUGGUGCCAGGAACACGAAAGUGGCUGCCGGAGCCUUUCGACUCGUCCACACUAAACCAGUGUUGGAGAUGUAAGGCGAAUUACAAGAUAAGGUUAGAAUAGCUUUCAGCAGCGCGACGUCAUGGAGGGUGUUUCCUUGCUCUGCAUAACGAGUUCAUCUCUUCUCACAUAAAGGAGUUGACGUGGGCCUCGGAAAUACGGAUUUGAUAUUACCAAGUCACCAUUAGCACAUCUCAUCCUAUAUCAUGUGGAAUCUAUAAGAUCGAUGCGGUCGCUAACGAUAUCGGACGCUAAUAUAAAGAUAUCGACGUGGGAAAGAUGAUGUCCGCCCUUUGCCGACGGAAGCGGUGCCAAGAUGUUGUUCCACGUCACCACUUAGACGGCACGUGCUGGAAUCCAACAUAGAUUUCUCCUUGAGAAACGCCUAGAACUCUCGCUCGUCGGUGUCUAUUGGGACUUAAUCGUGUGGGCAACACGCUGUAUUGGGUUUUUGGCUUCCAAUAAUGCGUGAGUGACGAUGUGACGCCAAAUAAAUCCCUUGCUAAUUACAACCCCGAAGUCUAUCUUCCUCCUGCUGACGACCCACGUCAAGCUCGCCUUGUGGUUGUGACGGUUGCAGGCAAGCCCCAGCUCGACGCUGCGCCGACUACGCGGCACUGGCCAUGCCCCAGAUGUCAUGGCACCCUAUGCUCGUUGGACAACGUAAGACAUGUUGCUAUGGAUUAGGACGGUUGGUGGCAGGGAUGGGGAUGUUUCCCAUCAAGCUGACUGGUUCCCUACAGUCCUCCCCUACUGUACGCCUUCCAUGGCGUUCUCGAACCAGCUCAAGCUGACUCUAUUAUGUCGGUGACGGAGACGAGCGGAAGAACGAAUACGAAAGAUCAACUCUCUUAACUCUACCAUAUUAGAUUGUUGUUUUAUUUUUACCUCUCUCGGCAAGAGUUUACUAGCUCUCUCUACUAUUGUAAAUGAUGAUACUAUAAAGUAAUCAACUUAUCACAUGUGAAUGAAUGAU